CCUACGGGGGGCAGCAGUGGGGAAUAUUGGACAAUGGGGGCAACCCUGAUCCAGCCAUGCCGCGUGUGUGAAGAAGGCCCUCGGGUUGUAAAGCACUUUCAGUGAGGAAGAACGCCUGGUGGUUAAUACCCAUCAGGAAAGACAUCACUCACAGAAGAAGCACCGGCUAACUCCGUGCCAGCAGCCGCGGUAAUACGGAGGGUGCGAGCGUUAAUCGGAAUUACUGGGCGUAAAGCGCGCGUAGGUGGCUUGAUAAGCCGGUUGUGAAAGCCCCGGGCUCAACCUGGGAAUGGCAUCCGGAACUGUCAAGCUAGAGUGCAGGAGAGGAAGGUAGAAUUCCCGGUGUAGCGGUGAAAUGCGUAGAGAUCGGGAGGAAUACCAGUGGCGAAGGCGGCCUUCUGGACUGACACUGACACUGAGGUGCGAAAGCGUGGGUAGCAAACAGGAUUAGAUACCCUUGUAGUC
rnacentral:rRNA from 1 species